rnacentral:rRNA from 1 species
AUUGAACGCUGGCGGCAGGCCUAACACAUGCAAGUCGAGCGGAGCGGCGGACGGGUGAGUAAUGCCUAGGAAUCUGCCUGGUCGAGGGGGAUAACGUACGGCAACGAGCGCUAAUACCGCAUGCUAUCAGAUGAGCCUAGGUAGGAUGAGCUAGUUGGUGGGGUAAAGGCCUACCAGGGCGACGAUCCGUAACUGGUCUGAGAGGAUGAACAGUCAAACUGGAACUGAGACACGGUCCAGACUCCUACGUGAGGCAGCAGUGGGGAAUAUUGGACAAUGGGCGAAAGCCUGAUCCAGCCAUGCCGCGGGUGUGAAGAAGGUCUUCGGUUUGUAAAGCACUUUAAGUUGGGAGGCGUUACCAACAGAAUAAGCACCGGCUAACUUCGUGCCAGCCGCCGCGGUAAUAC